rnacentral:sRNA from 12 species
GGCCUAAACCGACUUAAGAAUCCUCGUGAUUCUACCGGCAUGGCCGAAAACCCCGCUAGAGAGCAAGGACCUCCCGGUCCUAGUCACUCUAGCGGGUCAUAUCGGGAAACCGGUAUGGGCCUGGCCGCAAGGUCGGGUC